rnacentral:rRNA from 1 species
UACGGGGGGGGCAAGCGUUGUUCGGAAUUACUGGGCGUAAAGGGCUCGUAGGCGGCCAACUAAGUCAGACGUGAAAUCCCUCGGCUUAACCGGGGAACUGCGUCUGAUACUGGAUGGCUUGAGUUCGGGAGAGGGAUGCGGAAUUCCAGGUGUAGCGGUGAAAUGCGCAGAUAUCGGGAGGAACACCAGUAGCGAAGGCGACACUCUGGGCCGGUACUGACGCUGAGGAGCGAAAGCGUGGGGAGCAAACAGG